UCGAGAGGCUUCUACAAUGGGGGAAACCCUGAUAGAGCGACGCCGCGUGGGUGAUGAAGGUCUUCGGAUCGUAAAGCCCUUUCAGUAGGGAAGAAGGCAGCAGGCGCUAAUAUCGUUUGUUGCAGGACGGUACCUACAGAAGAAGCUCCGGCUAACUCCGUGCCAGCAGCCGCGGUAAGACGGAGGGAGCAAGCGUUGUUCGGAUUUACUGGGCGUAAAGGGCGUCUAGGCGGGCCAGCCAGUCAGGUGUGAAACCCCCCGGCUCAACCGGGGAUCUGCACUUGAUACUGCUGGUCUUGAGUACGAAAGAGGAAGGCGGAAUUCCUGGUGUAGCGGUGAAAUGCGUAGAUAUCAGGAAGAACACCGGUGGCGAAGGCGGCCUUCUGGUUCGAUACUGACGCUAAAGCGCGAAAGUGUGGGGAGCAAACAG
rnacentral:rRNA from 1 species